rnacentral:rRNA from 1 species
ACGGCGAGUGAAGCGGCAAAAGCUCAAAUAUUGAAAUCUGGCUCCUUUAGGGGUCCGAGUUGUAAUUUGCAGAGGAUGCUUCGGGAGCGGCCACGGCUUAAGUGCCUUGGAACAGGACGUCAUAGAGGGUGAGAAUCCCGUCUUGAGUCGUUGGUCCGCGCCCAUGUGAAGCUCCUUCGACGAGUCGAGUUGUUUGGGAAUGCAGCUCUAAGCGGGUGGUAAAUUUCAUCUAAAGCUAAAUAUUGGCCGGAGACCGAUAGCGCACAAGUAGAGUGAUCGAAAGGUUAAAAGCACCUUGAAAAGGGAGUUAAACAGCACGUGAAAUUGUUGAAAGGGAAGCGCUUGCGGCCAGACUCGGGUACAGGGUUCAGCGGGUGCGUGUCACCCGUGUACUCCCUGUUUCUCGGGCCAGCAUCAGUUCUGACGGCCGGUCAAAGGCCUCUGGAAUGUGUCGUCUUUCGGGACGUCUUAUAGCCA